AAGAUUUGACAAUGGGGGGAACCCUGAUCCAGCCAUCCCGCGUGUAUGAUUAAGGCCUUCGGGUCGUAAAGUACUUUUGGCAGAGACGAAAAGGUAUCUCCUAAUACGAGAUACUGCUGACGGUAUCUGCAGAAUAAGCACCGGCUAACUACGUGCCAGCAGCCGCGGUAAUACGUAGGGUGCAAGCGUUAAUCGGAAUUACUGGGCGUAAAGCGUGUGUAGGCGGUUCGGAAAGAAAGAUGUGAGAUCCCAGGGCUCAACCUUGGAACUGCAUUUUUAACUGCCGAGCUAGAGUAUGUCAGAGGGGGGUAGAAUUCCACGUGUAGAAGUGAAAUGCGUAGAUAUGUGGAGGAAUACCGAUGGCGAAGGCAGCCCCCUGGGAUAAUACUGACGCUCAGACACGAAAGCGUGGGGAGCGAACAG
rnacentral:rRNA from 1 species